rnacentral:rRNA from 1 species
GGGGGGGGGGGGGGGGGUGGGUGGGGGGUGCGGGGCUGCGGGGGCCUUCGGUUCUGGUGGCGCACGGGUGCGUAGCGCGUGGGAACCUGCCCUUAGUUUCGGCCUAACUCCCCGAAAGGGGUGCUCAUACCGGAUAAUGUCUUCGGACCAAAGAUUUAUCGCCUUUGGAUUGGCCCGCGUUGGAUUAUCUAGUUGGUAGGGUAAACGCCUACCAAGGCGACGCUCCAUAGCUGGUCUGAGAGGAUGAUCAGCCACACUGGGACUGAGACACGGCCCAGACUCCUACGGGAGGCAGCAGUGGGGAAUAUUGGACAAUGGGCGAAAGCCUGAUCCAGCAAUGCCGCGUGAGGGAUGAAGGCCUUAGGGUUGUAAAGCUCGUUUACCCGGGAUGAUAAUGACAGUACCGGGAGAAUAAGCUCCGGCUAACUCCGUG